AUUUCUUUGAUCUAUAUCAAUUAAACAGGAAAAAGGCGCGGUAUGGAAAAUUAUCUUCUCUAGAAAAAUUGGAAAAUCUAUGGGAAAUUAUGGAAAAUUGAAGAAAUCUGGUAUUGCGCACAUUUCUCACGGAACCUGGGAUCGUAUCUCUGAUCUUCUGAGAACAAUGGACGUGGUAGAACCUAUAUAAAAUUGGGAGAUCAACGCUGAUGGAAAAGAGGCUGAAGAGACUUCAUGAGGUUGCAGUCACUGAUGAGGCUGCAAGCAAGGGGGCGCAAGCAAGGUUUAGGAGCACCACCCUUGGAAAAAAUAAAAGAAAUAUGAGUGGGGAGUGUUGGAAAUAUUUUUUGAAAAACACAAGUAGGGAACUUUUAUUCGGGACCGAAGAGAAUAUAACAUAGUUUAUUUGACAUGUAAAAUGGGAUGCCUCUUUUGAUAACAAAAUUGAUAGCAAGGCUUUCGUGUUCCCUUACCUUACCUUCCAUGAGCUGCUUCUUUGAGAAAAAUAUUGUGCGUUUUUUGUAUCAAAGAGCAGUUUAUAUACAACUUAUAAGACAUUAGUUUAGCAACAAUCAACUUAGUCACGAUGAUCGGUUUAGCUGCUGAUAACUGUGCUGUUUGUAUCGUAAUACAACCUCUUAAUGUUCUCAGGGCAUGUGUCAAAACCCUGUAACAUUCUUUCCAUGCUACUGAUAUAUUGAUAUACACAAUUGGUUAAAUAUUCGGACGUUGGUACAGUGACACUUUAAGUCUGUUGAUAUCUCCCAUCAAAGUCAAACGCUUGCGAUCACCAAAGCCAAGCCUCUUUAUAAUACCAGAAUGAAUCCUGUAUGUAAACUGAACUCAACGCUUGGAGAUUACAUAUACAUAAGUCGACCGCAAAGCUCCCCCUAGUUUGGCACAUUCACAUUAGUGGUGCCACUGUUAAGACUGUAGGGACAGGGGGUAACUAAGCUUAAGUAAACUAUUUGCAUAUCGUGUUUCUUUGCAGUCUUUUUGGAGAAUUCUGUGUGCUUGAAGUAGCUUGUGCCAUCUAAUCCCGCCAAAAACACCUCAAGGAGAAAUUUUUCCGUUUGGAGACGUCAUAGAAUUGCUUAUGUUGCUUUAUGAAAUGCAUUUACGUGAAUAUUCACCCGUCGAGGAAGUCUGAUCUGGAUCUAUAUAGUAGAGUCUCAACUAUACAAGCAGUAAUGUACUGUUGACACUGGCGACUUUCACUCGACGGACCUUGUUACGCUGGACUGAAGAAAUUGUACGUUGCCUAGUACCAAGUCAAGCGCAAAAUGACGUCAUCGCUCAUUGAGCUUCUUCUAUUCCUGUGCACAAUGCAGAGCACCCAGCUUGCCAGUGGAUGGGACUAUAAAGCCUACCCGAAUUUUUGCCAAGCAAAACCAUUCAGGAUGCUUGUAGGGGCAGAGGGAUGUGAAAGCAUCAAGAUUCAAAACAACUUUUGCUAUGGACAAUGUCUUUCCCAGUUUUUCCCAGCUGGUUGGCGAAGGGACGUACCCAACGGCUUGAUGGCUUGCAGUGUCUGCAAUCCUGUUGCAACGGCAGUAAGAAGAGUGGUUCUCAAGUGCUCCAAACGAAAGGAAAAGUAUCUUGAACAAAAAGUGAAUAUAGUCAAGAAAUGCAAGUGCAGGGUUGCAUUCUGUAAAGUGAUGAGCUACUUUUACCGGUAACUUUCAUUGCAACAUUUAUAAUGUUCUGCAACUCGUUAAAUGGGCUCGAGCUCAUAUGGUGUAGUCAUGUUACUGUUGUUUUGAGUUGAUGCAUUGGCUUGAUGCGACAUUCAUAACUCAAAUUACUUUAAACUUUUUAAAUUUUGCAUUGUUGCUAAAGUUUCACUCUAUCCCCCAACCACCCUUCUCUGCCACCAAAAACCGUCAAUUAACCGAAAUACCACACCUCAUUCUUUACUACAAGUCCAGUCUCCCAUAGCACUUUCAUUCAAGGCCGUUAUCACUGAGUAAGCUAAAAACGUCAGUCUUUUUACUUUUAUGGACGGUAAUAAGUAGGUAUCCUGACUGGGAGAAAUCUUUCAGGGACUCUAACUUUGUCAAUCAUCGUGUUCAUUUUUGCUUGCAUUCAUAAAUGAAAGAUUCUGCCUGCCUUCAAAAACAGUAAAUAUAACCUCUUGAAACUGACAAGACUGGAAAGGUAGGCUGGCUCCAAUAAGCAUUGCAAUCGCAUUCACCUUUCAAUGUUUAAACUAAGUAUUGAUAAUUACAAAGCGAUAAAUUUUUCAAUUUUACAUUAGCUUUAUCAAAAUUAAUAAGCAUUAUUAUUGUAGCAAUGGUGUUGUGUAUGAACGAUUAUAUGGAGGAAUUGUAUUGCAAGUAGCUAUCAAAAAGAUGGUUUGGUACCGUGAUCAUUCUUCAAAUUUGUACUAGUCAAAGAUGCUGUAUAUCAAAGAUAUUAAGUAAUCUUUCAAGACUAUUACUUAAUACUACUUCAACUGAACGAACUUUACGAAUAAAAGCCAAAAUAACAUCUGCUUUUAGUUAGCAUACAGUUGAACAUUCAUGGUAGAUAAUCGGACAAUUCUGCUAUAUUUAGGACAUAGCUGAGAGUUAAAACACCAAGCUUUAAGGUAGCCUUAACCUCCUUUAGGGCCCGCAUCCAGAGACCUCUGCUUUUAUGUUACGAGACUGGUUAGCUACAUCAAGUAUAUAGCUUACGUAUAUCUUCUGUUUGGGGAAAGGGACUGAAACUCAUUGGAUAAGAGGCUAAGUUUGACAAGAUGAACAUGAAUGGAAUAUAAAAGAACCUAGGUUGCCAUUUGAAAAUACUUAGGGUCCAUACACCUAUUUCGUUCAAUCUCUCUUCCGUCGGUCCUGAUGUGUCAAGGGGCCCACCAUGUAGCAGUCACAGACUGUAACUCUUCAAUUAGAACAGCUAGUAAAUCUUUAUGUUUUUACCAUUACCUAUUUGACGUGCCAAUGGCAUGCUAAAGUUUACCACUGUCUCUAAUUCUUAAUAGAAAUAUUCGUUACAAACACAAAACGUUUUAUUAACAACACAAUUUGAAGAAAUCUGUUAAAGAAAACUUAAUCAUUAAAGCUUAAGAAAACUGAUAAUUUGAAUAUAAUUUAAUUUUUUUAUAGAUAGUAUAAUAAAAAAAUUAUGUUUACUAUUUCUUCAGUCUUCUGGCCUUGCCAUUUAUAUUAUGACUCAUCAGAGAUUCUUCUCUCCCGAAUGACUCCCUCCCCCUGACAGAAAAUUUGCAGUAUGUGAAAGAUCAAUAGAGCUUCUAACUUUAAUGUGUUGAACAUUUUGACCUAAGUCAACAGCCUUACAGUCUUUUAAAGUGAACUUAGCAUUAUCCUUUAAUAAAACAUGAUACGAUAAAAAAGUCAGACAAAAUAACUUCAAUGAGACAAUAAAUUAACUAAAAAAUAUUUCCACUGUAAAUAUAGUUAAUUAAUCUAAUUAGUACCACAGCAAAAUCCAAACACUUUAAUAAUGUAGUUUAAAUGUUGUAAAUAAUUUCAUAUGUAUUUGACAAGUAACAACAGAAUUAUUUUUCAACAAUAAUAGCCACUAUAAGAUUAUCAUAUUUAUGAAUAUCGACAUAUGCCACAUUAGUGACAGCAAUAAUACCGAUAGAUGACAACAACAUUACUUACAGACUCUAUGUAAUCCCAAUCGAUUGCCAGAUGAGUAACAGCAGAU